rnacentral:rRNA from 1 species
GAUGAACGCUGGCGGCGUGCCUAAUACAUGCAAGUCGAGCGAACAGAUGAGGAGCUUGCUCCUCUGACGUUAGCGGCGGACGGGUGAGUAACACGUGGAUAACCUACCUAUAAGACUGGGAUAACUUCGGGAAACCGGAGCUAAUACCGGAUAAUAUAUUGAACCGCAUGGUUCAAUAGUGAAAGACGGUUUUGCUGUCACUUAUAGAUGGAUCCGCGCCGCAUUAGCUAGUUGGUAAGGUAACGGCUUACCAAGGCAACGAUGCGUAGCCGACCUGAGAGGGUGAUCGGCCACACUGGAACUGAGACACGGUCCAGACUCCUACGGAAGGCAGCAGUAGGGAAUCUUCCGCAAUGGGCGAAAGCCUGACGGAGCAACGCCGCGUGAGUGAUAAAGGUCUUCGGAUCGUAAAACUCUGUUAUUAGGGAAGAACAAAUGUGUAAGUAACUAUGCACGUCUUGACGGUACCUAAUCAGAAAGCCACGGCUAACUACGUG